rnacentral:rRNA from 1 species
UACCGGCGGCUCGAGUGGUGGCCACUAUUACUGGGCUUAAAGCGUCCGUAGCUGGUCUGUUAAGUCUCUGGGGAAAUCUUCCGGCUUAACCGGAAGGCGUCCCAGGGAUACUGGCAGACUAGGGACCGGGAGAGGUGAGAGGUACUCCAGGGGUAGGAGUGAAAUCCUGUAAUCCUUGGGGGACCACCUGUGGCGAAGGCGUCUCACCAGAACGGCUCCGACAGUGAGGGACGAAAGCUGGGGGAGCAAACGG